rnacentral:lncRNA from 1 species
CAUUUUAUCCUGAAACCAUCCCCACUGUGUCCUACCCCCUGCCCCUACCCUGUUCGUGGAAAAAUUGUCUUCCAUGAAACUGGUCCCUGGUGCCAAAAAAGGUUGGGGACCGCUUUUCAAGAUAGGGAAACUGAGGCAAAUCAAGCAAGUAACUUGCUUAACGUUCCAUAGCAAGUAAGUGGAAGUGGCAGAGCUGAGAUCUGAAGCCAGGCACUGUGGCUCUGAAGCUCAUGCUCUUAAGUACCCUAAUAGAUGGCUCAUAUUGGCACAGGAAAUCGAUAAAUGGGAAAGAAGAGAAAGUCCCAGAUUCACACACAUAUCAAAAAUUUGAUUUUUGAAAAUGAUGGCAUUUCCAAAAAAUGGGAGAAAUAUAUCUCAGUCAAUACAUGGUAUUAGUAUUAAUAACUGGCUAUCUAUUUGGAAAGGAAACUAGUAAAAUCCCUGUAUUAGUUUUUUAUCAUUGCUGUAACAAAUUACCCAAAGUUAGCAGCUUAAAACAACACAGAUUUAUUCCCUCACAGUUUUGUAGGUUGGAAGUUUGAGGGAGCUCAGCUGGAUCCUCAGCUCUGGGUAUCACAAGGUCAAAAUCAAGGUGUCAGCUGGCCUG